ACGAACGCUGGCGGCGUGCUUAACACAUGCCGGUCGAACGCAGAGCGAUGGAAGCUUGCUUCUAUCAAUCUUAGUGGCGAACGGGUGAGUAACGCGUAAUCAACCUGCCCUUCAGAGGGGGACAACAGUUGGAAACGACUGCUAAUACCGCAUACGAUCUAACCUCGGCAUCGAGGAUAGAUGAAAGGUGGCCUCUACAUGUAAGCUAUCACUGAAGGAGGGGAUUGCGUCUGAUUAGCUAGUUGGAGGGGUAACGGCCCACCAAGGCGAUGAUCAGUAGCCGGUCUGAGAGGAUGAACGGCCACAUUGGGACUGAGACACGGCCCAGACUCCUACGGGAGGCAGCAGUGGGGAAUCUUCCGCAAUGGACGAAAGUCUGACGGAGCAACGCCGCGUGAGUGAUGACGGCCUUCGGGUUGUAAAGCUCUGUUAAUCGGGACGAAAGGCCUUCUUGCGAAUAGUGAGAAGGAUUGACGGUACCGGAAUAGAAAGCCACGGCUAACUACGUG
rnacentral:rRNA from 1 species